rnacentral:rRNA from 1 species
CAGUCGCCGCGGUAAUGCGAAGGGUGCAAGCGUUACUCGGAAUUACUGGGCGUAAAGCGUGCGUAGGUGGUGGUUUAAGUCCGUUGUGAAAGCCCUGGGCUCAACCUGGGAAUUGCAGUGGGUACUGGAUCACUAGAGUGUGGUAGAGGAUAGUGGAAUUUCCGGUGUAGCAGUGAAAUGCGUAGAGAUCGGAAGGAACAUCUGUGGCGAAGGCGACUAUCUGGGCCAACACUGACACUGAGGCACGAAAGCGUGGGGAGCAAACAGGAUUAGAGACCCCGGUAGUCCCUGUCUCUUAUAC